CCCUACGGGGGGCAGCAGUGAGGAAUAUUGGUUAAUGGGCGCGAGCCUGAACCAGCCAAGUCGCGUGAGGGAAGACGGUCCUAUGGAUUGUAAACCUCUUUUGUCGGGGGGCAAAAGACGCCACGCGUGGCAUUCCGAGAGUACCCGAAGAAAAAGCAUCGGCUAACUCCGUGCCAGCAGCCGCGGUAAUACGGAGGAUGCGAGCGUUAUCCGGAUUUAUUGGGUUUAAAGGGUGCGCAGGCGGAAGAUCAAGUCAGCGGUAAAAUUGAGAGGCUCAACCUCUUCGAGCCGUUGAAACUGGUUUU
rnacentral:rRNA from 1 species